GAUGAACGCUGGCGGCGUGCCUAAUACAUGCAAGUCGAGCGAACGGACGAGAAGCUUGCUUCUCUGAUGUUAGCGGCGGACGGGUGAGUAACACGUGGAUAACCUACCUAUAAGACUGGGAUAACUUCGGAAAACCGGAGCUAAUACCGGAUAAUAUUUUGAACCGCAUGGUUCAAAAGUGAAAGACGGUCUUGCUGUCACUUAUAGAUGGAUCCGCGCUGCAUUAGCUAGUUGGUAAGGUAACGGCUUACCAAGGCAACGAUGCAUAGCCGACCUGAGAGGGUGAUCGGCCACACUGGAACUGAGACACGGUCCAGACUCCUACGGGAGGCAGCAGUAGGGAAUCUUCCGCAAUGGGCGAAAGCCUGACGGAGCAACGCCGCGUGAGUGAUGAAGGUCUUCGGAUCGUAAAACUCUGUUAUUAGGGAAGAACAUAUGUGUAAGUAACUGUGCACAUCUUGACGGUACCUAAUCAGAAAGCCACGGCUAACUACGUGCCAGCAGCCGCGGUAAUACGUAGGUGGCAAGCGUUAUCCGGAAUUAUUGGGUGUAAAGCGCGCGUAGGCGGUUUUUUAAGUCUGAUGUGAAAGCCCACGGCUCAACCGUGGAGGGUCAUUGGAAACUGGAAAACUUGAGUGCAGAAGAGGAAAGUGGAAUUCCAUGUGUAGCGGUGAAAUGCGCAGAGAUAUGGAGGGACACCAGUGGCGAAGGCGACUUUCUGGUCUGUAACUGACGCUGAUGUGCGAAAGCGUGGGGAUCAAACAGGAUUAGAUACCCUGGUAGUCCACGCCGUAAACGAUGAGUGCUAAGUGUUAGGGGGUUUCCGCCCCUUAGUGCUGCAGCUAACGCAUUAAGCACUCCGCCUGGGGAGUACGACCGCAAGGUUGAAACUCAAAGGAAUUGACGGGGACCCGCACAAGCGGUGGAGCAUGUGGUUUAAUUCGAAGCAACGCGAAGAACCUUACCAAAUCUUGACAUCCUUUGACAACUCUAGAGAUAGAGCUUUCCCCUUCGGGGGACAAAGUGACAGGUGGUGCAUGGUUGUCGUCAGCUCGUGUCGUGAGAUGUUGGGUUAAGUCCCGCAACGAGCGCAACCCUUAAGCUUAGUUGCCAUCAUUAAGUUGGGCACUCUAAGUUGACUGCCGGUGACAAACCGGAGGAAGGUGGGGAUGACGUCAAAUCAUCAUGCCCCUUAUGAUUUGGGCUACACACGUGCUACAAUGGACAAUACAAAGGGCAGCGAAACCGUGAGGUCAAGCAAAUCCCAUAAAGUUGUUCUCAGUUCGGAUUGUAGUCUGCAACUCGACUACAUGAAGCUGGAAUCGCUAGUAAUCGUAGAUCAGCAUGCUACGGUGAAUACGUUCCCGGGUCU
rnacentral:rRNA from 1 species